UACAAUUUGUGGCCAUUGAUUGUUUUUGAUAUUGUGGCAUAAGAUCAAUCUACUCUCUCUCUCUCUCUCUCUCGAUUCAAUCCUUGAAUCGUGAAAUCGAAAAUCACACAGUCUUCAGAUCUACACACAGAGCUUGACUGGAUUCAACCCCUUGUCUCUCUAUCUGUAUCUCUCUCACUCGGCCAUGAUGAAAGCUUCGACAAGGCUUGACUCUAGUCAGACGGCUGUCCUUCAUAAGCAGAGGAGAAGAAGAGGCUCGCCGGAGAUGAAUAAAAGGAAAGUCUCGGCCUCUCUUUGCCAUGAAGGUGGGUCGUGAGCAGAGUUGGUUGUCGUGAGCUUGAAGGCGGCGGUGACAAGUCGGGGCAAGGCGGCGGCGGCAGCGAAUCCCUCGUUUCUGGGACUAUUGAUUCAGUUGCUCCAAGAGAGCUGAUGCAACUGCAGAUUUGAGUGGUGCUAUUGAGGCAGGAAACAAGGAGGACUCUGAGAAGUACAGCAAACGAACUGUGAUGGUAGUACUCUUAGUUAUUAUAUCAUCCACUUCAGAGCAGCUCGAUGACAAUCGCAUAACAAUCUUCACUCUGCGAUUGCUGUAACAGACUCAGAGUUUCUCUUUCAGCAGCUUCAUUCUACUCCUUUCUUCUCAGACGGCAGGUCUUGGGAGUCUCAGUUUGGUGAUUUCUUCUUUGAAUUGGUGUUCGUCUCUUCUCACCUCUCAUGCGGACACUGGAGGGUCUCUUUGUGGGAAGUUACCUCUCUUGCCGAGAUUCCAGCGAUCUUAGGAUUGUUUUGUAGGUUGAAGAUGAAGUCCCUAAACUUAGCAAUUGUUUUGGUUUGUGUAGCUGUUCAAUUGUUGUGUGUUUGAGUGUAAGAUUAAAAGAUAAAAAUGAUAAUCAAAGUUUUGAUAUGAAAUAU